GAUGAAGAACGCAGCGAAACGCGAUAAGUAAUGUGAAUUGCAGAAUCUAGUGAAUCAUCGAAUCUUUGAACGCACAUUGCGCCCGCCAGCAUUCUGGCGGGCAUGCCUGUUCGAGCGUCAUUUCAACCCUCGACCUCCCCUUGGGGAGGUCGGCGUUGGGGACCGGCAGCACACCGCCGGCCCUGAAAUGGAGUGGCGGCCCGUCCGCGGCGACCUCUGCGCAGUAAUACAGCUCGCACCGGGACCCCGACGCGGCCACGCCGUAAAACACCCAACUUCUGAACGUUGACCUCGAAUCAGGUAGGACUACCCGCUGAACUUAAGCAUAUCAAUAAGCGGAGGA
rnacentral:misc_RNA from 1 species